UAUGUGAUCGUCUCUCGCAUAUCAAUAAGCGGAGGAAAAGAAACUAACAAGGAUUCCCCUAGUAACGGCGAGUGAAGCGGGAAGAGCUCAAAUUUGAAAUCUUAAAGGGUUUCCCUUUACGAAUUGUAGUUUAAAGAAGUGUUUUCUGUUGAGGUUUUGGUAAAAGUUCUUUGGAAUAGGACAUCAUAGAGGGUGAGAAUCCCGUAUUUGACCUUUACUUUCAACUUUGUGAUACACUUUCAAAGAGUCGGAUUGUUUGGGAAUGCAGUCCAAAAUGGGUGGUAAAUUUCAUCUAAAGCUAAAUAUUGGCGAGAGACCGAUAGCGAACAAGUACCGUGAGGGAAAGAUGAAAAGAACUUUGAAAAGAGAGUUAAACAGUACGUGAAAUUGUCAAAAGGGAAGCGUUUGACACCAGUGUUGUUUUUCUGAAAAUCAAUUAAAGAACUGUUUAUGCUAAGCUGUUUAGACUUUAUCAGCUAUCUGUUUAGUUUUGAGCUUUUCUUUAAUGCACUUUUCAGUUAACAAGUCAACAUCAAUUUCUUUUGCUGUAAAAAAGCUUGAGGAAGGUGGCUUGAGAUUCGUCUUAAGUGUUUAUAGCCUCUUGCCUACGCAGUCGGAGAGAUUGAGGUCUGCAGCGUAGAUCCUUCGGGGCUAAAUGCAUUUGUGCUAAGUUAUAGCAUUUUAUAGACAACUUGUUGACUAUGAUUUGUCUUGUAGCUUACUCGCUUAUGUUAUUUUACCUACGCUUAGGAUGUUGAAUCUGUGCGAGACUAC
rnacentral:rRNA from 1 species